rnacentral:rRNA from 1 species
CACGUAGGGGGCGAGCGUUGUCCGGAAUCAUUGGGCGUAAAGAGCUCGUAGGCGGCUCGGUAAGUCGGGUGUGAAACCCCCAGGCUCAACCUGGGGACGCCACCCGAUACUGCUGUGGCUAGAGUCCAGUAGGGGAGUGUGGAAUUCCCGGUGUAGCGGUGAAAUGCGCAGAUAUCGGGAGGAACACCGGUGGCGAAGGCGGCUUCCUGGACCGACACUGACGCUGAGGCGCGAAAGCCAGGGGAGCAAACGGG